CAGCAGCCGCGGUAAUACGAAGGGUGCAAGCGUUAAUCGGAAUUACUGGGCGUAAAGCGCGCGUAGGUGGUUUGUUAAGUUGGAUGUGAAAUCCCCGGGCUCAACCUGGGAACUGCAUUCAAAACUGACUGACUAGAGUAUGGUAGAGGGUGGUGGAAUUUCCUGUGUAGCGGUGAAAUGCGUAGAUAUAGGAAGGAACACCAGUGGCGAAGGCGACCACCUGGACUAAUACUGACACUGAGGUGCGAAAGCGUGGGGAGCAAACAGGAUUAGAUACCCCCGUAGUCCCUGUCUCUUAUAC
rnacentral:rRNA from 1 species